rnacentral:rRNA from 1 species
GUUGAACGCUGGCGGCAUGCCUUACACAUGCAAGUCGAACGGCAGCACGGGUGCUUGCACCUGGUGGCGAGUGGCGAACGGGUGAGUAAUAUAUCGGAACGUACCUUAUCGUGGGGGAUAACGCAGCGAAAGCUGUGCUAAUACCGCAUAAGCCCUAAGGGGGAAAGCAGGGGACCGUACGGCCUGGCGCGACUAGAGCGGCCGAUACCUGAUUAGCUAGUUGGUGAGGUAAAGGCUCACAAAGGCAACGAUCAGUAGCUGGUCUGAGAGGACGAUCAGCCACACUGGGACUGAGACACGGCCCAGACUCCUACGGGAGGCAGCAGUGGGGAAUUUUGGACAAUGGGGGCAACCCUGAUCCAGCAAUGCCGCGUGAGUGAAGAAGGCCUUCGGGUUGUAAAGCUCUUUUGUCAGGGAAGAAACAGCAGCUCUAACACAGUUUGCGAAUGACGGUACCUGAAGAAUAAGCACCGGCUAACUACGUGCCAGCAGCCGCGGUAA